rnacentral:rRNA from 1 species
GAAAAGAAACCAACAGGGAUUGCCCUAGUAACGGCGAGUGAAGCGGCAACAGCUCAAAUUUGAAAUCUGGCUUCGGCCCGAGUUGUAAUUUGCAGAGGAUGUUUCUGGCGCGGUGCCUUCCGAGUUCCCUGGAACGGGACGCCACAGAGGGUGAGAGCCCCGUAUGGUUGGACACCAAGCCUGUGUGAAACUCCUUCGACGAGUCGAGUAGUUUGGGAAUGCUGCUCAAAAUGGGAGGUAAAUCUCUUCUAAAGCUAAAUACCGGCCAGAGACCGAUAGCGCACAAGUAGAGUGAUCGAAAGAUGAAAAGCACCUUGAAAAGGGGGUUAAACAGUACGUGAAAUUGUUGAAAGGGAAGCGCUUGUGACCAGACUUGCGCCGGGCGGUUCAUCCGGGGUUCUCCCCGGUGCACUCCGCCCGGCUCAGGCCAGCAUCGGUUCUCGUUGGGGGAUAAGAACGGCAGGAACGUGGCCCUCCUUCGGGUGGGUGUUAUAGCCUGCCGUACGAUACCCUGACGGGGACCGAGGUUCGCGCUCCGCAAGGAUGCUGGCGUAAUGGUCAUCAGCGACCCGUCUUGAAACACGGACCAAGGAGUCGUCCAUUAGAGCGAGCGUUUGGGUGUCAAACCCGCACGCGUAAUGAAAGUGAAAUUAGGUGAGAGCUUCGGCGCAUCAUCGACCGAUCCUGAUGUUCUCGGAUGGAUUUGAGUAAGAGUUUUAACGGACGGACCCGAAAGACAGUGAACUAUGCUUGUAUAGGGUGAAGCCAGAGGAAACUCUGGUGGAGGCUCGCAGCGGUUCUGACGUGCAAAUCGAUCGUCAAAUAUGAGCAUGGGGGCGAAAGACUAAUCGAACUGUCUAGUAGCUGGUUACCGCCGAAGUUUCCCUCAGGAUAGCAGUGUUGACCUUCAGUUUUAUGAGGUAAAGCGAAUGAUUAGGGACUCGGGGGCGCUUUUUAGCCUUCAUCCAUUCUCAAACUUUAAAUAUGUAAGAAGCCCUUGUUACUUAGUUGAACGUGGGCAUUCGAAUGUAUCAACACUAGUGGGCCAUUUUUGGUAAGCAGAACUGGCGAUGCGGGAUGAACCGAACGCGGGGUUAAGGCGCCAGAGUGUACGCUCAUCAGACACCACAAAAGGCGUUAGUACAUCUUGACAGCAGGACGGUGGCCAUGGAAGUCGGAAUCCGCUAAGGACUGUGUAACAACUCACCUGCCGAAUGUACUAGCCCUGAAAAUGGAUGGCGCUCAAGCGUACCGCCCAUACCCCGCCCUCAGGGUAGAAACGAUGCCCUGAGGAGUAGGCGGCCGUGGAGGUCAGUGACGAAGCCUAGGGCGUGAGCCCGGGUCGA